rnacentral:rRNA from 1 species
CAGCAGUCGCCGCGGGAAUACGAAGGGUGCAAGCGUUAAUCGGAAUUACUGGGCGUAAAGCGUGCGUAGGCGGUUUGUUAAGUCUGCUGUGAAAUCCCCGGGCUCAACCUGGGAAUGGCAGUGGAUACUGGCAAGCUAGAGUGUGUCAGAGGAUGGUGGAAUUCCCGGUGUAGCGGUGAAAUGCGUAGAGAUCGGGAGGAACAUCAGUGGCGAAGGCGGCCAUCUGGGACAACACUGACGCUGAGGCACGAAAGCGUGGGGAGCAAACAGGAUUAGAUACCCGAGUAGUCCCUGUCUCUUAUAC